UCCGUGUUAACCACGGCAGUCUCCUUAGAGAGCCCAACUUAAUGCUGGCAACUAAGGACAAGGGUUGCGCUCGUUGCGGGACUUAACCCAACAUGUCACCACACGAGCUGACGACAGCCAUGCAGCACCUGUCUCCCAGUGGUAUUGCUACCAAAGCUGUAUCUCUACAGCGGUCCGGGGAUGUCAAACCCAGGUAAGGUUCUUCGCGUUGCUUCGAAUUAAACCACAUGAUCCACCGCUUGUGCGGGCCCCCGUCAAUUCCUUUGAGUUUUAGUCUUGCGACCGUACUUCCCAGGCGGUCAACUUCACGCGUUAGCUUCGUUACCAAGGAAUUGCUUCCCCGACAACCAGUUGACAUAGUUUAGGGCGUGGACUAC
rnacentral:misc_RNA from 1 species